UAUUGGACAAUGGGGGGAACCCUGAUCCAGCCAUGCCGCGUGUGUGAAGAAGGCCUUAUGGUUGUAAAGCACUUUAAGCGAGGAGGAGGCUCCUGUAGUUAAUACCUACAGUGAGUGGACGUUACUCGCAGAAUAAGCACCGGCUAACUCUGUGCCAGCAGCCGCGGUAAUACAGAGGGUGCGAGCGUUAAUCGGAUUUACUGGGCGUAAAGCGUGCGUAGGCGGCUUUUUAAGUCGGAUGUGAAAUCCCCGAGCUUAACUUGGGAGUUGCAUUGGAUACUGGGAAGCUAGAGUAUGGGAGAGGAUGGUAGAAUUCCAGGUGUAGCGGUGAAAUGGGUAGAGAUCUGGAGGAAUACCGAUGGGGAAGGCAGCCAUCUGGCCUAAUACUGACGCUGAGGUACGAAAGCAUGGGGAGCAAACAGGAUUAGAUACCCUGGUAGUCCAUGCCGUAAACGAUGUCUACUAGCCGUUGGGGCCUUUGAGGCUUUAGUGGCGCAGCUAACGCGAUAAGUAGACCGCCUGGGGAGUACGGUCGCAAGACUAAAACUCAAAUGAAUUGACGGGGGCCCGCACAAGUACGGAGCCAGCAGUUAAAAAGAUGCAAGAAGAAAAACCAUUAAUUGGUCU
rnacentral:rRNA from 1 species